UACGGAGGGUGCGAGCGUUGUCCGGAAUCACUGGGCGUAAAGGGCGCGUAGGCGGCCUGAUGAGUCGGGGGUGAAAUCCUGCGGCUUAACCGCAGGGCUGCCUUCUAAACUGUCAGGCUUGAGCACAGUAGAGGCAGGUGGAAUUCCCGGUGUAGCGGUGGAAUGCGUAGAGAUCGGAAAGAACAUCAGUGGCGAAGGCGGCCUGCUGGGCUGUUGCUGACGCUGAGGCGCGACAGCGUGGGGAGCAAACAGG
rnacentral:rRNA from 1 species